rnacentral:rRNA from 1 species
AGAGUUUGAUUCUGGCUCAGAACGAACGCUGGCGGCAGGCUUAACACAUGCAAGUCGAACGAUAUAGUGGCAGACGGGUGAGUAACGCGUGGAAACGUGCCUUUCACUACGGAAUAGCUUUUGGAAACGAAAGGUAAUACCGUAUACGCCCUCCGAUCUUCGGACCUUGUGCUAUUGGAUAAGCCUGCGUCGGAUUAGCUAGUUGGUGGGGUAAAGGCCCACCAAGGCGACGAUCCGUAGCUGGUCUGAGAGGAUGAUCAGCCACACUGGGACUGAGACACGGCCCAGACUCCUACGUGAGGCAGCAGUGGGGAAUAUUGGACAAUGGGGGCAACCCUGAUCCAGCCAUGCCGCGUGUGUGAAGAAGGCCUUAGGGUUGUAAAGCACUUUCAGUAGGGAGGAAAAGUUAGUCGUUAAUAGCGGCUAACCCUGACGUUACCUACAGAAGAAGCACCGGCAAACUCCGUGCCAGCAGCCGCGGUAAUACGGAGGGUGCGAGCGUUAAUCGGAAUUACUGGGCGUAAAGCGCGCGUAGGCGGUCAUGUAAGUCGGAUGUGAAAGCCCCGGGCUCAACCUGGGAACUGCAUUCGAUACUGCAUGACUAGAGUGUAAUAGAGGGAAGUGGAAUUUCCGGUGUAGCGGUGAAAUGCGUAGAUAUCGGAAGGAACAUCAGUGGCGAAGGCGGCUUCCUGGAUUAACACUGACACUGAGGAGCGAAAGCGUGGGGAGCAAACAGGAUUAGAUACCCUGGUAGUCCACGCCGUAAACAAUGUCAACUAGCCGUUGGGAGACUUGAUCUCUUAGUGGCGUAGCUAACGCGAUAAGUUGACCGCCUGGGGAGUACGGCCGCAAGGUUAAAACUCAAAUGAAUUGACGGGGGCCCGCACAAGCGGUGGAGCAUGUGGUUUAAUUCGACGCAACGCGAAGAACCUUACCUGGCCUUGACAUCUCUUGAACGGGGUAGAGAUAGUUUAGUGCCUUCGGGAACUCGGUGACAGGUGCUGCAUGGCUGUCGUCAGCUCGUGUCGUGAGACGUUGGGUUAAGUCCCGUAACGAGCGCAACCCUUGUCCUUAGUUGCCAGCACGUAAUGGUGGGAACUCUAAGGAGACUGCCGGUGACAAACCGGAGGAAGGUGGGGACGACGUCAAAUCAUCAUGGCCCUUAUAUCCUGGGCUACACACGUGCUACAAUGGCCAGUACAGAGGGUUGCCAAGCCGCAAGGUGGAGCUAAUCCCAGAAAGCUGGUCUCAGUUCGGAUUGGAGUCUGAAACUCGACUCCAUGAAGGUGGAAUCGCUAGUAAUCGCGCAUCAGCAUGGCGCGGUGAAUACGUUCCCGGGCCUUGUACACACCGCCCGUCACACCACGGGAGUGGGUUGCAAAAGAAGUGGGUAGACUAACCUUCUAAGGGGAGCAGCCGUCCAUGGUAUGAAUGGUAACUGGGGUGAAGUCGUAACAAGGUAACC